AUCUAUGGCCAUACUAGUCUGAAAAUGCCUGAUCUCAGAAGCUAUCCAGACUUAGGCCUGGUUAGUACUUGUAUGAGAGACCAACUAGGAACUUCCAUUUCAUUCAGC